UGUCCUGAUGUGUAGAUGUUGUAUGAUGUUCUGAGUCCUGAAAUGGGAAAAGACAUGGUAAGACUUUCCUCCUGUCUCUUAAAAGAUGCAUGGCUCCUAUAAAAAAGGGUAUUUAAGUAAAUAUUUACUUUGUUAUGAAUGUGAAUUUGAGUCUACAAAGCUGGCCUUCUCAGUCAGCCUGUAACUGGGAUGCAUCCUUUGUCAAGCUUUGUUUAUGUUUACUCAGUUUAUGAGUAAAUAUUUCAAGGUACACUUCCAAUAGGACAUGACAGACAGCCUUUAUUAAAUAGGGGAAUCUUGAAGGGGGGGGGAGCAGAAUAGCACUUAGAAGAGCUCCCAUAGAUAGCAUGGGCAUCCUGUGACAACGUGAACACUAAUUCCUUAAGCCAAGCCGUACAAAUGCGGUAGAAUUACCCUUAGCUUGGUUUUGACCUAGGCAAGGAUUGCAGCAACCAAAGCUAAAGCCCAGCACAACCCAUGAGCAAAAGCUCUUCUACCUGCUCAAGGCUGGCAUCCUGCCACCCCGGGAAAUCCGUGAGAUGUAAGUAGUAGGUACUGAGCCUCUGUCACACUGGCUACUAGAUGUUUUGCAAGAGUAUUGGUUGUGUGCAGAGUGUGAGUUCAUGGGCUGAUAAAAAUCAGCUUUCAUGUGACGUGCACAUGGAACAAUUCUCUGAACUGAUGAUUCUGUGUUGAUGUCACUGAAUUUCUGCUUGCAUCUAAAUGCACUUUGGAAAGAAUUUAACCUUUUAAUUUAAAAUAAGUUUUUUACCACUCUGACAGGAGAGUGAUGUCGUGAGGGAUCUGGUGAAAUCCUACUGCUUUCAGACAUGCAGGGACACCGUGACUGAACAUGCCUGGUUAAGCAGUUAUUUGCCUCUGCAAGCAAUGCAGACCUUGUGGUGAGCUGGUGAGAGCACUGCCUGCAAAAUCAGACUUCAGUUCUGAAGUAACUGAUAAACACACAAAUAACUCAAUUGCUGUGGGGGAUAUGCAAGCGUAUUGGGUGCUAGUGGACACUGAUGUGACUCCUGUGUAGAGCUAUCUUCCCAGCCCUUGUGUGCUCAGGUCUGGGUUUCCCAACAGAAGCUUGCUGCUUGCUGCCUGCACCCUGGGAGGAAGCUGACAGCUGUCACCCAAAAAAACCCUCUCUGAACUACAGCUCAUCUAUCACUGAAUCCCUUGAAAACAGUAAUGCAGUCACCGUAACCACAGAACUGCUUUGAAAGACCCUGGAAGGGGAUCAAGGGUUCACUUAGACAAGAAAGAAAUCUUUUGGAAUCACUCAUUUCCCAUGUUGGGAUGAAUUUAGCUUCCAGUUCCCAGCUGCUGAAGUAAUACGCUCUGAUCUUUCAGUGAUGCUAAUGGUGGUUGGCUGCUCAUAAACCAGCCCGAUGGGUACUCUCCUGGCUGUGUGAGCUGUGAGAGAUGAGAAACCUGCUGGCUGGAGCUCAGGGGUGAGAGCAUGCAGGCACUGGUGUGGUGAGCGAAGGACCGCAGGAUGCUGACGUGGCCCAGAUGUCCCUGGCUCAGGAGGCACAAGGUGGCAUCAGGCAGAGGAAGUGCUGCAGCACAGCUGUCCAGCAAGGCUGUGCAGGGGAGAGGACUCAACAGAACCUGAAGAAAAGACCCACUCGCUCUGCUCUACCACAAGGCUUAGGCACCUUGCAGCAACACUAUGACCACAGAGAUGUGUGUGCUGAUCACAGCCUUCAGGAGGCAACCAGGCUUCCAAAGCCCCCAGGCUGCUCUGUCACGGAGGACAAAUGAUCCAUGCAUAAGCAUGAGACAGCAUCGAGAUGAGUCACACGAGUGUCGCCUUUGCAGAAAUGCAGCUGUCAGCCCCGGGAGCCGCACUGCACGUUCCUGAGAGCCCACUGCUGGCGGCGGCGUGCCCACGGCCCCGCCGUGAUGGGACCAGACACCCACUGUGGGGAGAGGCUGAUCCCCUGCCAUGGCUGUGCAGCCGAGCUGUCACCCACGCAGAGCCGGGGAGUCGGAGCCUGUUGAUGCCGUCUCAUCCACCACGGGUGUGGGGACAGAGAUGGAGGCGGGCUGGCCGUACGGUGAGGACUGAUGUGCUCCACCCUGCGCAAAGGCUGGAAGUGGCCAGGGGACACAAAGACAUGGCAGGAGAGGCAGCCAAACAGCACUGGGAGAAGUUAGGUCUGUGCCGGUAAGGCCGGCGGCACCAGCCUGCAAGUGGAGUGUCUAGCCUGGACCCAGGGAUUAGUUCCUCCACAGGAGAAGGCUGUACAUACCAAGUCAUCCCGAGGACCUGUAUAUUUUCCUGGCAUUUUUCACCAGUCUCCUACCAAAUUUGUGCUGGAGGAUGCUAAACUAACACAAAUUACAUCUGUUUGUGUUUUGCUAAAAUAUAGCACACUAAACAGGCCUAGAUGAUGCGGUUUGGGUUGUGGUGUGAAACAGGGGGAACGCCUACAUGGGAUGCUGCAGACCUUCACAAGACAGCCUGGGUGACCUUUGAAAGUACCACCUUUUCCAUGGCAGCAAGGCAAAAACACUCUUAAACUUCAGGUUUGUGUUGUUUUUUUUCUUCUCACCCCUCAACCAUGAACAUCCUUUCCUACGUUAUCAAUUUGAAAGGUCACUUAGUUGUGCAAUCCUUUGGGUGUGGAAGGUCUUCACUUUUAUUAAAGUUCCAAAUUCAAACCUUAAUUUAUUUACAAUUUCCAUUCACGUGUCCAAGGAGGAGGAAAACAGAGAUGAUGUAAGGAUAGCAUUGUUUGUAAAGCCAGCCAUGCUUUAUUCAAGGGCCAAUUGCAGCAAUACCCUACUUGUACAAUGCUGUAGAAAUAAAUCAUUCAGGUGCCUUCUGUUUUGAAUGAAUUUUACAUAUGACCUGCACACAUGCUGGAACAGAUCAUUAGUGCUCUUCAGGCUGCACACCAGCCUAUUCAGCCUCGUUAAUGUUGAUGCUAUAGACUCACAUCAUUGAUUUCUUAAGCUGAAAAAAACCCCUUUUGCUCUUACGUAAAUAUAAGAACCAUUUUGUUUCUGAGCGCCCUGUGCUUGGAUGGAGACACCUGAUGUUUCAAGAGCUCCAGCAGAUUUUUUUAUCUCUUACUCUCAACUACAAGACACACACCAAAAAAACCCCCACAAACCCCAACCCAAAACCCCAAUGUUUUUUGCUAAUGGGAAGCAACAGACGAGAGCAGAGAUAGGGCUGGUAACUGUAACACAUGCUUGCCUGACCUUGUCCUGCUCCCAGAAGAACAAAUCAGUUUAUCCUCUGCUUUCACCAACUGGUCUGUAAUUUGCCUGUAGUUACCCUCCCCAUUUCUACAUUUGAGCAGAGGUGCUUUCAGACUAGGGAGAGCGUUCACUCCGGCAUUGUAGCACAUGCGAAUGUUAGAGGCUUUUGCUUCUAUUUUUUGAAUUUUGCCCAUGGGGUUUUUUUUGUUCCUGAUCUUCUAAGAAUUACUGGCAUAGACUAGGUUGAAAUGUAUACACCCUGAUUUCCUUCGUAAAACUCACUGCCCUCUGGAUUGCCUGUCAUCCCCCAUGCUUAUUUUUCCACUUGUCUUCUAAACUACAUUACAUCUUGUUUUUCAUAAAUGCGGAUGAGAACGCGCAGCAUAGCCGAGAAAUGGCUCCGUUGCCCCGUGUGGUGGUAUUUUCUACAGGACACACAAGCAAGCCGCGCUGCACCCAUCCCCGCUCUGCACCAGCUAACGGGGGCACGGCACCCCACCCACCGCUGCCUGGCCCGGGGUGCAGGGGUGGCUAAUCUGCACAGCAUCAGCCUUGUCGGCGCUGAGGUGGUUGGUGGCUCCGGCGCAGCGCUGCUCAAGACCGCGAGCUAACCUGGAGCUAGCUGUACGCCUGCAGGCAGGCAAAAUGGAACAGAGAGAACAGCACAGAUUAUAAAAGGUCAAAAGCUAAUGAUAUAGGGCCACUUUCUCAUUUUCAAAGUCACCACUCGGGGUCCCGUGCCCUCAGGUGAUCCUGCCUUUACGGACAGGUGGCCCUGCCCUGCCACACAGACUCAAUACGCUAUUAAACCGUGAAACUGUACUGCGGGACGCCAGAGGCAGAAAAGCAGUCAGAGCGUUCGCAGAGGUGCGGAGGGAAGAGUUUUCCAUAAACAUGCAUUUUUCCAGAAAGAAGAUUAUCCCAUCAUUUAAGAACUAGCAAUGAAGCGGCAAGGGAGAGCUGACAAAUCAGAUAGAUACAAAUCCAUCUCGCAUCACUCGUGAAAGGUGAUAAUGCAUCUGUGCCAAAAAGCUGCUGGUUUAUCACAGAUCUCAAAAACAUUCAUGAGCAAAUGUUUCAUCUUAUCUGUUUGCAUUUCCUGAAAUAGAAAACAAAUUUAGGAAUAUAGUUUAAUAAUAAGUUUAAUAAAUGAAAUUUUAGGAA